rnacentral:rRNA from 1 species
UACGUAGGGUCCGAGCGUUGUCCGGAAUUACUGGGCGUAAAGAGCUCGUAGGUGGUUUGUCGCGUUGUUCGUGAAAACUCACAGCUCAACUGUGGGCGUGCGGGCGAUACGGGCAGACUUGAGUACUGCAGGGGAGACUGGAAUUCCUGGUGUAGCGGUGGAAUGCGCAGAUAUCAGGAGGAACACCGGUGGCGAAGGCGGUUCUCUGGGCCUUACCUGACGCUGAGGAGCGAAAGCGUAGGGAGCAAACAGG